rnacentral:rRNA from 1 species
GUCUUAUUGAAAAUAAUUUUAAGUCAAUCUGCCCAAUGAAUUAAAUUUUUAAUGGCUGCAGUAUAACUGACUGUACAAAGGUAGCAUAAUAAAUUGGUUUUUAAAUGAAAUCUGGAAUGAAAGGAUUAAUGAAAUAUGAACUGUCUCAUUUAUAUUAAAUGAACUUAAAAUUUUAAUAAAAAUGUUAAAAUUUUUUUAUGGGACGAUAAGACCCUAUAGAAUUUUAUAUAGAAAAGAUUCAGUAGUUAUUAUUGAAAACUUUUCAAUAUUUGGUUGGGAGGACUGUUAAAUUUAAAAAACUUUAUAUUUAUACAAACUUUAAUUUAAGAAAAAAUUACGAUCUUCAAUUUGAAAUCACUAGAAUAAAUUACCUUAGGGAUAACAGCGUAAUAUUUUUUUAUAGACCUUAUAGAAAAAAGUGAUUGCGACCUCGAUGUUGAAUUAAGAUAAAUUUUAAACGCAGGAGUUUAAUAAUUAAGUCUGUUCGACUUUUAAAAUCUUACAUGAUUUGAGUUCAAAUCGACGUAAGU